UACGUAGGGCGCAAGCGUUGUCCGGAAUUAUUGGGCGUAAAGAGCUCGUAGGCGGCUUGUCACGUCGGGUGUGAAAGCCCGGGGCUUAACCCCGGGUCUGCAUUCGAUACGGGCUGGCUAGAGUGUGGUAGGGGAGAUCGGAAUUCCUGGUGUAGCGGUGAAAUGCGCAGAUAUCAGGAGGAACACCAGUGGCGAAGGCGCCACUCUGGGCCGUAACUGACGCUGAGGAGCGAAAGCGUGGGUAGCAAACAGG
rnacentral:rRNA from 1 species